CGUGCGGUGCCUGGCAUAAAGGUCGAUAUUCGGCGAUUGAUCAGGUAGCGGCAUGACCGAUAGAGGU
rfam:Marinobacter excellens HL-55 ITZ_scaf_458, whole genome shotgun sequence.